UAGCUCAGUGGUAAGAGCAUUUAUUUAGCAUGUAUGAGGUCCUGGGUUCAAUCCCCAG
rnacentral:tRNA from 1 species